UGCUGGUCGUGAAGCACCCCCUCUCGGAAUCCUGGGCCCUGCCGGGGGUGAGCCAUGCGAGCUGUCUGUCCAUCCAUCCCACCCUCCGACCCAGCA
ensembl:snoRNA Z6 small nucleolar RNA